rnacentral:rRNA from 1 species
GCUCGUAAAGCUCUGUUGUUAAAGAAGAACACGUAUGAGAGUAACUGUUCAUACGUUGACGGUAUUUAACCAGAAAGUCACGGCUAACUACGUGCCAGCAGCCGCGGUAAUACGUAGGUGGCAAGCGUUAUCCGGAUUUAUUGGGCGUAAAGAGAGUGCAGGCGGUUUUCUAAGUCUGAUGUGAAAGCCUUCGGCUUAACCGGAGAAGUGCAUCGGAAACUGGAUAACUUGAGUGCAGAAGAGGGUAGUGGAACUCCAUGUGUAGCGGUGGAAUGCGUAGAUAUAUGGAAGAACACCAGUGGCGAAGGCGGCUACCUGGUCUGCAACUGACGCUGAGACUCGAAAGCAUGGGUAGCGAACAGGAUUAGAUACCCUGGUAGUCCAUGCCGUAAACGAUGAGUGCUAGGUGUUGGAGGGUUUCCGCCCUUCAGUGCCGGAGCUAACGCAUUAAGCACUCCGCCUGGGGAGUACGACCGCAAGGUUGAAACUCAAAGGAAUUGACGGGGGCCCGCACAAGCGGUGGAGCAUGUGGUUUAAUUCGAAGCUACGCGAAGAACCUUACCAGGUCUUGACAUCUUGCGCCAACCCUAGAGAUAGGGCGUUUCCUUCGGGAACGCAAUGACAGGUGGUGCAUGGUCGUCGUCAGCUCGUGUCGUGAGAUGUUGGGUUAAGUCCCGCAACGAGCGCAACCCUUGUUACUAGUUGCCAGCAUUAAGUUGGGCACUCUAGUGAGACUGCCGGUGACAAACCGGAGGAAGGUGGGGACGACGUCAGAUCAUCAUGCCCCUUAUGACCUGGGCUACACACGUGCUACAAUGGACGGUACAACGAGUCGCGAACUCGCGAGGGCAAGCAAAUCUCUUAAAACCGUUCUCAGUUCGGACUGCAGGCUGCAACUCGCCUGCACGAAGUCGGAAUCGCUAGUAAUCGCGGAUCAGCAUGCCGCGGUGAAUACGUUCCCGGGCCUUGUACACACCGCCCGUCACACCAUGAGAGUUUGUAACACCCAAAGUCGGUGGGGUAACCUUUUAGGAGCCAGCCGCCUAAGGGGCACACA